rnacentral:rRNA from 1 species
UAUGUGAUCGUCUCUCGCAUAUCAAUAAGCGGAGGAAAAGAAACUAACAAGGAUUCCCCUAGUAACGGCGAGUGAAGCGGGAAGAGCUCAAAUUUGAAAUCCUAAAGGGUUUCCCUUUACGAAUUGUAGUUUAAAGAAGUGUUUUCUGUUGAGGUUUUGGUAAAAGUUCUUUGGAAUAGGACAUCAUAGAGGGUGAGAAUCCCGUAUUUGACCUUUACUUUCAACUUUGUGAUACACUUUCAAAGAGUCGGAUUGUUUGGGAAUGCAGUCCAAAAUGGGUGGUAAAUUUCAUCUAAAGCUAAAUAUUGGCGAGAGACCGACAGCGAACAAGUACCGUGAGGGAAAGAUGAAAAGAACUUUGAAAAGAGAGUUAAACAGUACGUGAAAUUGUCAAAAGGGAAGCGUUUGACACCAGUGUUGUUUUUCUGAAAAUCAAUUAAAGAACUGUUUAUGCUAAGCUGUUUAGACUUUAUCAGCUAACUGUUUAGUUUUGAGCUUUUCUUUAAUGCACUUUUCAGUUAACAAGUCAACAUCAAUUUCUUUUGCUGUAAAAAAGCUUGAGGAAGGUGGCUUGAGAUUCGUCUUAAGUGUUUAUAGCCUCUUGCCUAUGCAGUCGGAGAGAUUGAGGUCUGCAGCGUAGAUCCUUCGGGGCUAAAUGCAUUUGUGCUAAGUUAUAGCAUUUUAUAGACAACUUGUUGACUAUGAUUUGUCUCGUAGCUUACUCGCUUAUGUUAUUUUACCUACGCUUAGGAUGUUGAUCUACAGAGCGAGAGU